rnacentral:tRNA from 1 species
AGUAGNUAAACUCUACUAUUAAGGA